UACGAAGGGGGCUAGCGUUGCUCGGAAUGACUGGGCGUAAAGGGCGCGUAGGCGGCGGUCACAGUCAGAUGUGAAAUUCCUGGGCUUAACCUGGGGCUGCAUUUGAUACGUGGUUGCUUGAGUGGGGAAGAGGGGUCGUGGGAACUCCUGGUGUAGCGGUGAAAUGACGCAGAUAUCAGGAAGAACACCGAUGGCGAAGGCAGCUCGCUAGGACGGUACUGACGCUGAGACGCGAAAGCGUGGGGAGCGAACAGG
rnacentral:rRNA from 1 species